GACGGGGGGGGCAAGUGUUCUUCGGAAUGACUGGGCGUAAAGGGCACGUAGGCGGUGAAUCGGGUUGAAAGUGAAAGUCGCCAAAAAGUGGCGGAAUGCUCUCGAAACCAAUUCACUUGAGUGAGACAGAGGAGAGUGGAAUUUCGAUGUGUAGGGGUGAAAUCCGUAAAUAUACGAAGGAACGCCAAAAGCGAAGGACAGCUCGUCUGGGGUCCCUACCCGACGCUGGGGGUGCGAAAGCCAUGGGGGAGCGAAACAGG
rnacentral:rRNA from 1 species